rnacentral:tRNA from 1 species
GGGCGGGUAGCUCAGCGGUAGAGCAUUGGCCUUACAAGCCGAUGGUCGCAGGUUCGAACCCUGUCCCGCCCACCC